rnacentral:sRNA from 1 species
GAAUGGUGUUCACAGAAUAUGAGCAAAUUCCAAAGAAAAAGGCGAAUGGCAUUUUCAGCACAGCAGCUCUGCCAGAAAACGCCGAGCGCAGCCGAAUCCGUGAAGUUGUCCCCUAUGAGGAGAAUCGAGUAGAGCUGAUACCAACCAAAGAAAAUAACACAGGAUACAUUAACGCCUCCCACAUCAAGGUGGUGGUUGGCGGGGCAGAAUGGCACUACAUAGCCACCCAGGGGCCCCUGCCACACACGUGCCACGACUUCUGGCAGAUGGUGUGGGAGCAGGGAGUGAAUGUGAUUGCCAUGGUCACUGCAGAGGAGUGAUCUUUCCACUGGAAUUUGGGAGUCUCAGGCUGCUCUGGGCAAAUCGACAUAGACACCCGACUCCAGGCACCCAGCUCCACAUGCCAUCAUCCUUAUCAGCUGAAAAGAGACCAGAAGCUGUU